GGAUGAAGAACGCAGCGAAAUGCGAUAAGUAGUGUGAAUUGCAGAAUUCAGUGAAUCAUCGAAUCUUUGAACGCACAUUGCGCCCCAUGGUAUUCCGUGGGGCAUGCCUGUUCGAGCGUCAUUUACCCCCUCAAGCUCCGCUUGGUGUUGGGCGUCUGUCCCGCUUCGCGCGCGGACUCGCCCCAAAGGUAUUGGCAGCGGUCGUGCCAGCUUCUCGCGCAGCACAUUGCGCUUCUCGAGGCACCGGUGGGACCGCGUCCAUCAAGCUCACCCCCCCAGUUUGACCUCGGAUCAGGUAGGGAUACCCGCUGAACUUAAGCAUAUCAAUAAGCGGAGGA
rnacentral:misc_RNA from 1 species